CCUACGGGUGGCAGCAGUGGGGAAUAUUGCACAAUGGGGGAAACCCUGAUGCAGCGACGCCGCGUGAGUGAAGAAGUAAUUCGUUAUAUAAAGCUCUAUCAGCAGGGAAGAAAAUGACGGUACCUGAGUAAGAAGCCCCGGCUAACUACGUGCCAGCAGCCGCGGUAAUACGUAGGGGGCAAGCGUUAUCCGGAUUUACUGGGGGUAAAGGGAGCGUAGGCGGCAGUGCAAGUCUGGAGUGAAAGGCUGGGGCUCAACCCCCGGACUGCACUUGAAACUGUACGGCUGGAGUGCAGGAGAGGUAAGUGGAAUUCCUAGUGUAGCGGUGAAAUGCGUAGAUAUUAGGAGGAACACCAGUGGCGAAGGCGGCUUGCUGGACUGUAACUGACGUUGAGGCUCGAAAGCGUGGGGAGCAAACAGGAUUAGAUACCCGGGUAGUC
rnacentral:rRNA from 1 species